rnacentral:rRNA from 1 species
AUUGAACGCUGGCGGCAGGCCUAACACAUGCAAGUCGAACGGUAACAGGAAGACGCUUGCUUCUUUGCUGACGAGUGGCGGACGGGUGAGUAAUGUCUGGGAAACUGCCUGAUGGAGGGGGAUAACUACUGGAAACGGUAGCUAAUACCGCAUAACGUCGCAAGACCAAAGAGGGGGACUUUCGGGCCUCUUGCCAUCGGAUGUGCCCUGAUGGGAUUAGCUAGUAGGUGGGGUAACGGCUCACCUAGGCGCCGAUCCCUAGCUGGUCUGAGAGGAUGACCAGCCACACUAGAACUGAGACACGGUCCAGACUCCUACGGGAGGCAGCAGUGGGGAAUAUUGCACAAUGGGCGCAAGCCUGAUGCAGCCAUGCCGCGUGUAUGAAGAAGGCCUUCGGGUUGUAAAGUACUUUCAGCGGGGAGGAAGGGAGUAAAGUUAAUACCUUUGCUCAUUGACGUUACCCGCAGAAGAAGCACCGGCUAACUCCGUG